rnacentral:tRNA from 1 species
GCCCCGGUAGCUCAGUUGGAUAGAGCGUCCGCCUCCUAAGCGGAAGGUCCCAUGUUCGAAUCAUGGUCGGGGCGCCA